UUCAGCCGGCUCUGCCGGUGCAUUCUGGGCCUUCCGGGUCAGCAUCAGUUUGGGUCGAUGGAAAAAGGCGGUGGGAAGGUGGCACCCUCGGGUGUGUUAUAGCCCGCCGUCGUAUGCAUUGGCCCGGACUGAGGACCGCAGCUCGCUACUCUUUGUAGCCGGGGUUCGCCCACGUUCGAGCUUAGGAUG
rnacentral:rRNA from 1 species